rnacentral:rRNA from 1 species
CCUACGGGGGGCUGCAGUGGGGAAUAUUGGACAAUGGGGGGAACCCUGAUCCAGCCAUGCCGCGUGUGUGAAGAAGGCCCUCGGGUUGUAAAGCACUUUCAGUGAGGAAGAACGCCUGGUGGUUAAUACCCAUCAGGAAAGACAUCACUCACAGAAGAAGCACCAGCUAACUCCGUGCCAGCAGCCGCGGUAAUACGGAGGGUGCGAGCGUUAAUCGGAAUUACUGGGCGUAAAGCGCGCGUAGGUGGCUUGACAAGCCGGUUGUGAAAGCCCCGGGCUCAACCUGGGAACGGCAUCCGGAACUGUCAAGCUAGAGUGCAGGAGAGGAAGGUAGAAUUCCCGGUGUAGCGGUGAAAUGCGUAGAGAUCGGGAGGAAUACCAGUGGCGAAGGCGGCCUUCUGGACUGACACUGACACUGAGGUGCGAAAGCGUGGGUAGCAAACAGGAUUAGAUACCCUUGUAGUC